CAAAAAAUAUCCUGAUAGAGUAGUGCCCCUUUGGCACUUUAGAAAUCUUGUAGCAAUUUGAAGGACCUUCAGACAAGGGGAAAUAGCGAAGAGUUUUAAGAGGAGGUGUAAUGUAACUUGUUUUAGAUGCAUUUGCAGGUAUGUUUCAGACAAGGGGAAAUAGCGAAGAGUUUUAAGAGGAGGUGUAAUGUAACUUGUUUUAGAUGCAUUUGCAGGUAUGCCUCCUGUAUAUCCAAAGUCUUUAUACCAUAGGGUAGUUGUUGGUUUUGUUUGAACAUUUUGACGAGCCCCGCAACUUAUGCGCAUAGCAAAUGGUCCU
rnacentral:lncRNA from 1 species